rnacentral:rRNA from 1 species
GAUGAACGCUGGCGGCGUGCCUAAUACAUGCAAGUCGAACGAGGUGCUUUUGUAGCAAUACGAGAGUAUCCUAGUGGCGAACGGGUGAGUAACGCGUUGGUGACCUACCCCAAAGUGUGGGAUAACAGUCCGAAAGGAUUGCUAAUACCGCAUGUGGUUAUCGAGUUUAGAAAUUGAUAACUAAAGGAGCAAUUCGCUUUGGGAGGGACCUGCGUCCCAUCAGCUAGUUGGUGAGGUAAUGGCUCACCAAGGCUACGACGGGUAGGGGACCUGAGAGGGUGACCCCCCACAAUGGAACUGAAACACGGUCCAUACACCUACGGGUGGCAGCAGUAGGGAAUAUUGCACAAUGGGCGAAAGCCUGAUGCAGCAACGCCGCGUGCACGAUGAAGGCCUUCGGGUCGUAAAGUACUUUUCUGGGAGAUGAGAAAGGACAGUAUCCCAGGAAUAAGUCUCGGCUAACUACGUGCCAGCCGCCGCGGUAAUAC